rnacentral:rRNA from 1 species
CAGUAGCCGCGGUAAUACGUAGGUGGCAAGCGUUGUCCGGAAUUAUUGGGCGUAAAGGGCUCGCAGGCGGCUUCUUAAGUCUGAUGUGAAAGCCCCCGGCUCAACCGGGGAGGGUCAUUGGAAACUGGGAAACUUGAGUGCAGAAGAGGAGAGUGGAAUCCCACGUGUAGCGGUGAAAUGCGUAGAGAUGUGGAGGAACACCAGUGGCGAAGGCGACUCUCUGGUCUGUAACUGACGCUGAGGAGCGAAAGCGUGGGGAGCGAACAGGAUUAGAUACCCCAGUAGUCCCUGUCUCUUAUAA